rnacentral:tRNA from 1 species
ACCUGGCUGGCUCAGUUGGCAGAGCAUGCGACUCUUGAUCUUGCAGUUGUGGGUUCGAGCCCUAUGCUGGGUG